CAGUCGCCGCGGUAAUACGAAGGGUGCAAGCGUUACUCGGAAUUACUGGGCGUAAAGCGUGCGUAGGUGGUGGUUUAAGUCCGUUGUGAAAGCCCUGGGCUCAACCUGGGAAUUGCAGUGGAUACUGGGUCACUAGAGUGUGGUAGAGGAUAGUGGAAUUUCCGGUGUAGCAGUGAAAUGCGUAGAGAUCGGAAGGAACAUCUGUGGCGAGGGCGACUAUCUGGGCCAACACUGACACUGAGGCACGAAAGCGUGGGGAGCAAACAGGAUUAGAUACCCCCGUAGUCCCUGUCUCUUAUAC
rnacentral:rRNA from 1 species